AUUGGACGCUGGCGGCAUGCCUUACACAUGCAAGUCGAACGGUAACAGGUCUUCGGAUGCUGACGAGUGGCGAACGGGUGAGUAAUACAUCGGAACGUGCCUAGUAGUGGGGGAUAACUACUCGAAAGAGUGGCUAAUACCGCAUGAGAUCUACGGAUGAAAGCAGGGGAUCGCAAGACCUUGUGCUACUAGAGCGGCCGAUGGCAGAUUAGGUAGUUGGUGGGAUAAAAGCUUACCAAGCCGACGAUCUGUAGCUGGUCUGAGAGGACGAUCAGCCACACUGGGACUGAGACACGGACCAGACUCCUACGGGAGGAAGCAGUGGGGAAUUUUGGACAAUGGGCGCAAGCCUGAUCCAGCAAUGCCGCGUGCAGGAUGAAGGCCUUCGGGUUGUAAACUGCUUUUGUACGGAACGAAAAGCCCCGGGUUAAUACCCUGGGGUCAUGACGGUACCGUAAGAAUAAGCACCGGCUAACUACGUGCCAGCCGCCGCCGUAA
rnacentral:rRNA from 1 species